UUAAAAACUCAAGUCCUUUUCAUGGGGCAGGGGGUCUGAUUCACAUUUAGUGAUACUAUGAAAAAUAAAAGGUGCUCUCAUAUUUUGGGACAAGGAUCCACUCAGUACAGAGACAGUGGAAGUUGUAGGAGGCCACACAAGACAAUGAGGAAGGUGCCCUUCUGGUUUCAGAGAAAGGGUGUCACAGCCGCUGUCCACUAUGACACUUCUGCACAUCUGACUUUCCUAAGACAGCAACCAAAAGCCAAAGAACCCCAGGCUGUUUCCGACACAGAGCUAAGAAAGUUACUCGAUCCAGAUUGGGAUAUCUUCUGUGAAUUAUAGCUGGACCAAGAAUGCUGAAAACGAGUUGGUCUGGCAUGCAAGCUUUAAGAGAUGAUGAAAAGGCACAGGGAGCCAAGAGUCAGAGCCGACUCGAUUCCCCAAAUGAUUACAUGUCUCUUCAACUGGACUACGCAUUUUGCAAGCAAAAAAUCAGACUUUGAUUGUUCCCCUUUGUCAGAGCACCACACCCACCUCUUCACUCUCCCCUCCUAACCCCUCUGAAAUCACAGUGCAAUGUUUUUGAAAAAGAAGGAUUUAUUCCAUUUGGGGGCCUCACAUUAAUAAGGGAAUAGGGGAGCAGAAGAGAUGUUUCUCGUGGCUGGACUAAAGCAAUAAAGUCAAUGGCAUAGCUGCA